AUGACAGAGACAGGAAAACCGAAUCACUCCUCCAUCUUUCUGAGGGAGGCAUCAAGCCAAGAAGCCCAGUCCAAAGAACAACAUCUGUUGUCUGCAAGCCAUGUUCCAAGAAAAAUGCUCCAUGCUGUGAAAGAUAAGACUGUGCAGACAUUAGGAGAUGGGGUCGUUCUGAACACCAGCAUCGUUUGCACCAGUCAUCUGGAAAGUGGGCUGAAGACUGCUGUGAUUGGGAUGACCUGUUAUUCUGGACCUCUGGUUUCUCAGUAUUGAUACUAAAUCAAUACUGUAGGCAACAAUAACGGCAACAAAAUAGAUGACACUAACUUAAAAGUCCAAAUUUGAAUGAAAUGUAACAUGGAAAUGUCACAUGGGUUAAUAAAGUUUAAAUUUACAGUAGAUAGGUAAAAAUUUACUUUUUUCCUUGGAAAAAAAUGGUGUUAUUUUUUAGUUUUUAAGUAUUUCUAUUUAGUUUUAGUUUUAGUAAUUUCCUUUUCCUUAUUUCAAUUAACAAAAACCGUUUUGAAUACUUUGAUGUAGUUGAUAACAUAGCACUGAUAUUGACUUCAAUAUUUUGGUUAAUUUGAUUCUGCUUUCAG
rnacentral:lncRNA from 1 species